rnacentral:rRNA from 1 species
GACGAACGCUGGCGGCGUGCCUAAUACAUGCAAGUAGAACGCUGAAGGAGGAGCUUGCUUCUCCGGAUGAGUUGCGAACGGGUGAGUAACGCGUAGGUAACCUGCCUGGUAGCGGGGGAUAACUAUUGGAAACGAUAGCUAAUACCGCAUAAGAGUAGAUGUCGCAUGACAUUUGCUUAAAAGGUGCAACUGCACCACUACCAGAUGGACCUGCGUUGUAUUAGCUAGUUGGUGAGGUAACGGCUCACCAAGGCAACGAUACAUAGCCGACCUGAGAGGGGGAGCGGCCACACUGGGACUGAGACACGGCCCAGACUCCUACGGGAGGCAGCAGUAGGGAAUCUUCGGCAAUGGACGGAAGUCUGACCGAGCAACGCCGCGGGAGUGAAGAAGGUUUUCGGAUCGUAAAGCUCUGUUGUAAGAGAAGAACGAGUGUGAGAGUGGAAAGUUCACACUGUGACGGUAUCUUACCAGAAAGGGACGGCUAACUACGUG